UACGUAGGAGGCGAGCGUUGUCCGGAGUUACUGGGCGUAAAGCGUGCGCAGGCGGUGAUGUAAGACCGAUGUGAAAUCCCCGGGCUUAACCUGGGAACUGCAUUGGUGACUGCAUUGCUCGAGUAUGGCAGAGGGGGGUGGAAUUCCACGUGUAGCAGUGAAAUGCGUAGAGAUGUGGAGGAACACCGAUGGCGAAGGCAGCCCCCUGGGUCAAGAUUGACGCUCAUGCACGAAAGCGUGGGGAGCAAACAGG
rnacentral:rRNA from 1 species